rfam:Marine Group III euryarchaeote CG-Epi1 CG-Epi1-C13, whole genome shotgun sequence.
GCGGGGGUCGCAUAGUCUGGCCAUUGCGUUGGAUUGCUAAUCCAAUGGGAUUUAUCCCACGGGGGUUCAAAUCCCCCUCCCCGCG